rnacentral:hammerhead_ribozyme from 1 species
AUCUAGCCGAUGAGUCCCAAAUAGGACGAGACUUGCGUCUUGAAU